rnacentral:lncRNA from 1 species
GCGUCCAAUGCCGUUUCAUCCCGGAAUGCUUUCUUCAUCUCUGCGAGCACUCCUCGUGUUUCCUUUUCUUCACCUCUUAAAAAAUAUCAUCGAAGGUCGUGAUGAAUCGCAACAGUCUGGCCUGAGGAUUGGGCAGUGUAUCAAUUCCAAAUCGAAUACGGCCUCAGAGAGAGAUCGCGGUGAUCUCACUUUGCCAGAUGGGGAGACCAAGGCCCAGGGAUACAAAAAGGACCAAACCAAGGUGAACAAACAAUGUAGGUGCAGAUGUCAAAAUGCUUCUAUUGGGGCUCAAGAUUAAAUAGGAAGUCCCAACCCACUCCCUCUCCUACCCUGAUUUCCUAUAGGAUAAAUUGUUAUUUUUUUUUUUUUAAGAGAAACUCACAAGUGAAAGAAAGACACAACCGUACGAGGACACGUGGUUAACCUGGUGCUAACAUGCACAAGCUCCACUGGAAUGGUGGCAUGAGAAGCCUGGUAACAUGAGCUAAAGCCAGUUCCGAUCUGUGCUUCCUGGCCUGGCGGACAAAGCCCUUUGUGAUCCAGCCCCAGCCUGUUUUGCCAACCCUGGCGUUUUCCACUCCCCAACUGGAAACUGAAACCCUUUGUAACCUCCAUACUCAACUCCCCAAACUCCCAGUAGCUCGUAGAGAGCUGCCUGACUGUAUAUCCUUCCCUUCCAGCACUCUGCAGUCCCGUCUAACUUCUUAUCCCUCCCUCUGGCCUGAGCAUCAGUGCGUCUGGGAAUACUCUCCAGCCCUCCUGGAGGACUCCCCUCCUCUGUGUUUCCACGGUACCCUGGAAGCACUCCUGUAAUAGUACCUCGUACUGUGUGACCUGCUUCCUUGUCUGCCUUCCUCACCGGACCAAGAGCUCCUUUAGAGUGGGCCCCGUUGCUUUGUAUCUUAAGUGCCUGGCACACACUGGGCCUUCAAGAAAUGCCUGUAACUCACCAAAAUGUAAGAACGUCUUCCUCGAUGUCUUUUUCUUUCGCUAAUACGUAAUAAUCCCCCUCUCUAUAGAGUAAGGAUAUGGCCUUAGCAGCCUUGUUAUAUGGACUCAGUAUGACUCACCUAAAUUGAAAAAGAAUGAUAGGUUGCUGGCCUCAAAAGUAUGGUCAGAGGUCAUCGUAUACAUUCCCAUCAACACCAGUGUGAGUAUGAGUUUUCUGGAAACCUGGAAAUAUUUCAGUAAUGAAAAGCCACAAAAGGCAGCAGUCUGCAUUAGAAAUAAGGGCACGUUAAGCUUCAAGUGGGCUCAAAUGGCAUGUUCAGAUAAGUUCGGCUUUCAAGAAUCAAGAA